AAGUCGUAACAAGGUUUCCGUAGGUGAACCUGCGGAAGGAUCAUUAACACGUAUCCAACGUUAAACAACCCUGUGAACUUUCAACCGCUCUUGUAGCCCACGCGGAACAGCAAUCCCGGUAAAUCAAUUGGAGAAAAGGUUUUGAUUCGGGACCUCUGUCCAUCAGGCUACAAUCGAGCUAGGAGCAGUGGCAUGGUUUCCCUAAGCAGUGCAGAAGGAUCCACUGAGUAAGGAUAACGCCUCACGGUUGCCAGAGGUCGAUCACACAGGGCUAUAUGCCCCCUCAUUCACACCUUGCCCUAUCUGGCCCCACGGAAACGUUGGGGCACAAACCGAACAACUGUUAACAAUGGAUAUCUUGGUUCUC
rnacentral:misc_RNA from 1 species